AGCCUUUAGCUCACCAAGUAUUAAAGGUCCUGCCUGCCCAGUGAAACUUUUAACGGCCGCGGUAUCCUAACCGUGCAAAGGUAGCGUAAUCACUUGUCUUCUAAAUAAAGACUCGUAUGAACGGCUAAAUGAGGACCUAACUGUCUCUUACGACCAAUUAAUGAAACUGAUCUUUCAGUCCAAAAGCUGAAAUAUAAACAUAAGACGAGAAGACCCUGUGGAGCUUUUAACCAAGAUACUAUACCCACCACAUAGACCUACACCAGUAAUAGUACCUCGUUUAAGUUGGGGCAACUAUGGAAAAAGAAAAACUUCCACAUUACCCUAGGGUAAACCCCCCUCCCUCCCAGACCCACCUGUCAAACAUUAAAUACAUGACCCAGUCCCACUGAUCAAUGAACCAAGUUACCCCAGGGAUAACAGCGCAAUCCCCUUUCAGAGUCCCUAUCGCCAAGGGGGCUUACGACCUCGAUGUUGGAUCAGGACACCCAAAUAGUGCAGCAACUAUUAAUGGUUCGUUUGUUCAACGAUUAACAGUCCU
rnacentral:rRNA from 1 species